CAGUACACCGUUACAGCGAAGCUGGUGCAUGACUAGAGGAUUCUCCAUCGCCCCAGGAGUCUUUGUCUCAUUGGGGAUGAUGCAGCGUACAAAGUGUGGGAUUCUGUUGGGGAAACCCUUUCUGCAAAUCCUGAUACCUUCAAGUACACCGUUACAGCGAAGCUGGUGCAUGACUAGAGGAUUCUCCAUCGCCCCGGGAGUCUUUGUCUCAUUGGGGAUGAUGCAGCGCACAAAGUGUGGAGAUGGCUGGAAAACAUACAAGAAGUUCAUUAUUCAAAAGUCAGGUAUAGUUGAGCAUUUGUUACUAUGAUUUAUU